rnacentral:rRNA from 1 species
GACGAACGCUGGCGGCGUGCUUAACACAUGCAAGUCGAACGGCAAGGCCCUGCUUUUGUGGGGUGCUCGAGUGGCGAACGGGUGAGUAACACGUGAGUAACCUGCCCUUGACUUUGGGAUAACUUCAGGAAACUGGAGCUAAUACCGGAUAGGAGCUCCUGCUGCAUGGUGGGGGUUGGAACGUUUCGGCUGUCGGGGAUGGACUCGCGGCUUAUCAGCUUGUUGGUGGGGUAGUGGCUUACCAAGGCUUUGACGGGUAGCCGGCCUGAGAGGGUGACCGGCCACAUUGGGACUGAGAGACGGCCCAGAGUCCUACGGGAGGCAGCAGUGGGGAAUAUUGCACAAUGGGCGGAAGCCUGAUGCAGCAACGCCGCGUGCGGGAUGACGGCCUUUGGGGUGUAAACCGCUUUCGCCUGUGACGAAGCGUGAGUGACGGUAAUGGGUAAAGAAGCACCGGCUAACUACGUG